rnacentral:lncRNA from 1 species
CUGUGCUCAGGAGGGCGCAGUGACAGCUGCCACAGCCCAGCCUGAACCCCAUGCCCGGCUGCUAGAAGGUGCUGCAGGGUGGCUUCCCCUUCUGCUGCGGCAGCUCAGUGCUGUCUCUGAGUUACCUGGAAGCCCAGGAGGGCACCAGAGCACUUGAUGGAGGAUGAGACACAUGUGUGGGGGAGCUGGCACCGCUCUAAUGAGCUCCACACAGGCUGGCUUCUCCAUCAGGUGACAUUUCUCAGAACCUAUCCUCCCCCGCUGACCCGCCUGGAAUCCACUAGAGCCCAGCCUGGCGGGCAGAACUGGAUCGGUGCUUGGAAGAACGCUGGCACCAUGCAAAGAAUCCUCGCCACACUGCAGACACCCAUGUCUGGUCUCCCCACGCUGCACUGCAGGCCAACUGUUCUGAGCUAGGCCAGAAAGACGCUCCUGAGAGGCCCCCUCCCCCGCGCACGCGCACAUUGCUCUGGGCACGCGCCCUAGCCCUGGCUACGCUGCAGCUCUGGUCCCACUGCCCCACACCCUGGGCCUGGCAGGAUCUGCAACGUUAUGACUAUGGAAACGUAAAUUAAUUAAAAACUAAUGAGUUAAUGAUUAACAGUUCUGUUCCUUCGUCAUGUUAGUCACAUUCCAAGCCCUCAAUGGCCUCUUGUG